UAUGAAUGGGGGUACUGGCUUAAUAUUAUUCUUUUUUCUUAAUUUAUAAUUUUGUUGAAAAUAACAAUUGAUUCUUUAAGACGAAAAGACCCUAGAAUUUUUACUAAUCACAAAGAUUAGGUUGGUUGGGGAAACAAAUAAAAAUAAAUAAUUUAAAAUUUUUUUAUUUUAGAACUUAUAUUAUAGAAAGAUGGAUCUAAAUACUCUAGGG
rnacentral:rRNA from 1 species